AUACAGCGCCAUCUCUGAAACAUUGCAUGUACUACAAACCAAUAUUUUAAGUAGAUGGCGCCGGUGCGUGACACAUUGUUUGACAGCUACUUAUUGUUUUCUUCUCAGUUAAUUUCAUGUGACAAACCGGUGUGAAAUUGUGAAAAAAAAGUAAAAAUAAUAAGUUAUUCGUUUCUUAACAUUUUAAUUGGAAACCAUCAAAUCAAUCACGUGUAUUGUGUACAUUUUUAUUCAAUUUCAACAGCAGUUAAAAAUGCCUAGAGGACGACGUGCGAACAUCGGCCGCCGCACAAGACAUGCAAGUCAGCAACAAGUGUAUUCACAGAACUUAAGUGAAGAAAGACAAAAUAUAAUAAGAGAUAAUGCCCGAUUGAGACAACGCGUGAGCACACGAAGAUCAUUGGCAUCAUACAAUCGCUUGGCAUUCCAAUAUGAUCCCACUGCGAACUACAGUGAUGAUGAAAAUUUAAAUAUUGGACCAAUGACGACUGUAUGCCGAUAUUCCAAUGCGUUAAAGUUCAAAAGAGAAACGGCUGGAUUGUGCUGCGCAAGUGGAAAAGUCAAACUGGAUCCAUUACUUACACCACCACAGCCACUGAAACCAUUGUUCGAUGGAAGUGAUCCCGAUUCCAGCCAUUUUCUUCAACACAUCCUUGAUUACAAUAAAUGACGAAAUCAGCAACUUCCAAAUGGGCAAAUACGUCAGUACUAAUGAAGCACUGUGGCGAUUAUUUUCAUUUCUAAUUCAUGAAAGAUAUCCCACAGUUGUACAUUUAGCAGUGCAUUUGGAAAAUGGCCAAAGAGUUUACUUCACUGAAGCUAAUGCAGCACAACGAGCUGAGAGACCACCAUCGACAACAUUGACUAGCUUCUUUGCAAUGUGUGAAGCAAAUCCAUUCGCAGCGACGCUGAUGUACGUUGAAAUGCCCAAGUAUUACACUUGGAAUCAAUCAACAAAGAAAUUCCAACGUCGCAAACAAGGAACCCCAGUUCCAGAUUGGCCACAGGUGUUUUCCACUGAUGCACUAGGUCGCAUGUAUACUGUUCAUCCUAGAAAUGAUGAAUGUUUUUAUUUGCGACUGCUGUUGGUAAAUGUACGUGGACCAAAAUCAUUUGCGCAUUUGAAAACUGUGAAUGGCCACCAAUGCCAAACAUAUCGAGAAGCAUGUCAACAAUUGGGUUUGCUAGAGAACGAUUCUCAUUGGGAUUUAACACUUGCGGAUUCAGUU